UGUGUUAGUGGAAGCGUCUGGAAAGGCGUGCGAUACAGGGUGACAGCCCCGUACACAAAAAUGCACAUAUUGUGAGCUCGAUGAGUAGGGCGGGACACGUGGUAUCCUGUCUGAAUAUGGGGGGACCAUCCUCCAAGGCUAAAUACUCCUGACUGACCGAUAGUGAACCAGUACCGUGAGGGAAAGGCGAAAAGAACCCCGGCGAGGGGAGUGAAAAAGAACCUGAAACCGUGUACGUACAAGCAGUGGGAGCACGCUUAGGCGUGUGACUGCGUACCUUUUGUAUAAUGGGUCAGCGACUUAUAUUCUGUAGCAAGGUUAACCGAAUAGGGGAGCCGAAGGGAAACCGAGUCUUAACUGGGCGUUAAGUUGCAGGGUAUAGACCCGAAACCCGGUGAUCUAGCCAUGGGCAGGUUGAAGGUUGGGUAACACUAACUGGAGGACCGAACCGACUAAUGUUGAAAAAUUAGCGGAUGACUUGUGGCUGGGGGUGAAAGGCCAAUCAAACCGGGAGAUAGCUGGUUCUCCCCGAAAGCUAUUUAGGUAGCGCCUCGUGAAUUCAUCUCCGGGGGUAGAGCACUGUUUCGGCAAGGGGGUCAUCCCGACUUACCAACCCGAUGCAAACUGCGAAUACCGGAGAAUGUUAUCACGGGAGACACACGGCGGGUGCUAACGUCCGUCGUGAAGAGGGAAACAACCCAGACCGCCAGCUAAGGUCCCAAAGUCAUGGUUAAGUGGGAAACGAUGUGGGAAGGCCCAGACAGCCAGGAUGUUGGCUUAGAAGCAGCCAUCAUUUAAAGAAAGCGUAAUAGCUCACUGGUCGAGUCGGCCUGCGCGGAAGAUGUAACGGGGCUAAACCAUGCACCGAAGCUGCGGCAGCGACGCUUAUGCGUUGUUGGGUAGGGGAGCGUUCUGUAAGCCUG
rnacentral:rRNA from 1 species